GACGAACGCUGGCGGCGUGCUUAACACAUGCAAGUCGAACGGAAAGGCCCUGCUUUUGUGGGGUGCUCGAGUGGCGAACGGGUGAGUAACACGUGAGUAACCUGCUCUUGACUUUGGGAUAACUUCAGGAAACUGGGGCUAAUACCGGAUAGGAGCUCCUGCUGCAUGGUGGGGGUUGGAAAGUUUCGGUGGUUGGGGAUGGACUCGCGGCUUAUCAGCUUGUUGGUGGGGUAGUGGCUUACCAAGGCUUUGACGGGUAGCCGGCCUGAGAGGGUGACCGGCCACAUUGGGACUGAGAUACGGCCCAGACUCCUACGGGAGGCAGCAGUGGGGAAUAUUGCACAAUGGGCGGAAGCCUGAUGCAGCAACGCCGCGUGCGGGAUGACGGCCUUCGGGUUGUAAACCGCUUUCGCCUGUGACGAAGCGUGAGUGACGGUAAUGGGUAAAGAAGCACCGGCUAACUACGUG
rnacentral:rRNA from 1 species